GACGAACGCUGGCGGCGUGCUUAACACAUGCAAGUCGAACGGAAAGGCCCUGCUUUUGUGGGGUGCUCGAGUGGCGAACGGGUGAGUAACACGUGAGUAACCUGCCCUUGACUUUGGGAUAACUUCAGGAAACUGGGACUAAUACCGGAUAGGAGCUCCUGCUGCAUGGUGGGGGUUGGAAAGUUUCGGCGGUUGGGGAUGGACUCGCGGCUUAUCAGCUUGUUGGUGGGGUAGUGGCUUACCAAGGCUUUGACGGGUAGCCGGCCUGAGAGGGUGACCGGCCACAUUGGGACUGAGAUACGGCCCAGACUCCUACGGGAGGCAGCAGUGGGGAAUAUUGCACAAUGGGCGGAAGCCUGAUGCAGCAACGCCGCGUGCGGGAUGACGGCCUUCGGGUUGUAAACCGCUUGUGCCUGUGACGAAGCGUGAGUGACGGUAAUGGGUAAAGAAGCACCGGCUAACUACGUG
rnacentral:rRNA from 1 species